AUUGAACGCUGGCGGCAGGCCUAACACAUGCAAGUCGAGCGAGUGGCGGACGGGUGAGUAAUGCUUGGGAAUCUCGCUUAUGGAGGGGGAUAACUACGGGAACCUGUAGCUAAUACCGCUUACCAUAGGAUGAGCCCAAUUGGGAUUAGGUAGUUGGUGGGGUAAAGGCUCACCAAGCCGACGAUCCCUAGCUGGUCUGAGAGGAUGACAGUCCACCUGGGGGCUGAGACACGGCCCAGACUCCUACGGGAGGGAGCAGUGUGGAACAGUGCGCAGUGGGGGCGACUUGACGCAGCGAGGCCGCGUGAAUGAAGAAGGCGUUCGGGUUGUAAAGUUCUCUCGGUAGCGAGGCGUUAACUGCAGAAGAAGCACCGGCUAACUCCGUGCCAGCAGCCGCGGUAAUUC
rnacentral:rRNA from 1 species